UUCCUCUGACCUUGGGGACAUUUUAAAUUUUAUUGUUUAAUGCUCGACUUUAAAAUUCUGUGUGCUCAAAUUCCAACCCUGGCAAAUCUACUUCAAAAGCAAAAACAGUCCAACUUUGCGGAUAUCGAAUGGGAGGUUUGCUGUUUUGACCUGCUUGUCUCGAGCCGAGCGGUUUAUGAAACAUGUUCUAUAAGAUGUACAUUUUUUUUUUCAUUGUAACAUAGAAAUUGUAAAUAUUCGAUGAAACUGCUGCAUUUUGAUGACUUUUUUCUAGCCAUUUUUAAAGAGAAAACUAGGAAUUGAGUAUUUUGUGUACGGUAUGUUCCCCACCACACCACCACCACCCCUCCAUCCCUCUCCCCCCUCUAUUUAAUUCUCAUUUGUCAUCAGGUUUUUGGGUUUGAGAACAAUCCGCUGGAGAUCUGCCCCAUGUCAUAGAGAAUAAAGCUGAUGAUUGUACCAGUCUUAAAUUAUUCAUGAUCCAAUAAACUUAAUGCUUAUUUAU
rnacentral:lncRNA from 1 species